CCUACGUGAGGCAGCAGUGGGGAAUAUUGCACAAUGGGGGAAACCCUGAUGCAGCGACGCCGCGUGAGUGAAGCAGUAAUUCGUUAUGUAAAGCUCUAUCAGCAGGGAAGAAAAUGACGGUACCUGAGUAAGAAGCCCCGGCUAACUACGUGCCAGCAGCCGCGGUAAUACGUAGGGGGCAAGCGUUAUCCGGAUUUCCUGGGUGUAAAGGGAGCGUAGACGGCAGUGCAAGUCUGGAGUGAAAGGCGGGGGCUCAACCCCCGGACUGCUCUGGAAACUGUACGGCUGGAGUGCAGGAGAGGUAAGUGGAAUUCCUAGUGUAGCGGUGAAAUGCGUAGAUAUUAGGAGGAACACCAGUGGCGAAGGCGGCUUACUGGACUGUAACUGACGUUGAGGCUCGAAAGCGUGGGGAGCAAACAGGAUUAGAUACCCGAGUAGUC
rnacentral:rRNA from 1 species